CUUGGAAUUUUGUGACGGUGUAUACGACGGUUUAAUCAACCGUUGCAGAUUUUGGAUCUAAAACUGUGGAACCAUAUUCAGCCCCAUACAAUUCUACUCUCAGUCAUACUCAAAUCCUUUUUCACUAUUUUUUUUGUUCAAACCCUUCUUCACUUUUUGUUCAAAAAAAACCCUAAAAUCCCUAAAUCAUUCCCCUGCGACAAAUCCACUCUCCAAAUCAUCUUCCCCUUCAUCGUUCCAAUCCCCCAAUCUCUAAAUCCCCUUCAUGUUCCAAUCAACGAAGCUUCAUCGUUUUUUCGCUGGAAAGCUUCAUCGUUCUGUUUUUGUUCUCUCCCUCCCCCGCUCUCUCUCGUUAUGUCUCCGACAACGACGGCAGCUUCUGCCACCCUUCAGGCAGCAUCCGCCAGCACACCAUCCGUAGUUUACACGUUCAGGUAUCCAUCUCUUUAUUGCUAAACAUUCACCAGAAUCAGCAACAAUUACAUUGUCUCGCCUAUUUGAUUCAAAUGUUGUCAUUGCAUUCCUUCCAAUUUUAGAAAGUUCCCGAGGAAACUUUCCGGAGAGGUUAUUGUUAGCGAGGUUUAGCCAUAACAAACUAGUACAGUUCCCUAACUCUGGAGGAAUUGGUCCGGUUAAUGAAUUGUCUGCAAGCAUCAACCACAAGAGUGAACUCAAGUUUCCGAGGCUUGGAUGUAUUGAUCCAGUCAACUUGUUGAAAGAAAGGUACAAAUUUAUGGCACUGAUGUCAUACUACCUUUCUCAGUUACCAUAUCAGGAUUCCCUCCAAAUACUCGAGGCUGAUAUACAACAAGCUGCUGCAAUUACAAGAGCCAGAGGAGGGACUCUUAUUAAAAUGAAAUUGGUUUGCAAUCAAUUGGUUCCUCUUUUUUUUUUUUAUUAUUUCUGCAUUGGAUGGAUUGUUCUUGUGCUAGCUUUUUGCGUAAUUAUCUCAACCUCUUCCAUAUAUUUAUAUACAAGGUAUCUGAGUUAGAAGAGUCAAGAGAUGGCAGGUGUUGGGAGUCUAGUUAGCACUAAUUAAGGAUCAUGAAGCAACCUCACGUACUGGGAAUAUUGAGAUAUUUUGUGAACUUCUUAUUUUGACUUAAUGUUUUAUCACUCUACUAAUGGUUAGGUUUUAGUUUUUUGAAUGAUUGAACUACAUUAGUUUUUUCUUUUUUCUUUUGGAGUUUCAUGUAUUUUAAUUAAAUUUUUUAUGUAUGAAUGUUGUCAGUAUUAAAUGAAUUAUAUAAAUGAGAUUAAG